GACGAACGCUGGCGGCGUGCUUAACACAUGCAAGUCGAACGGAAAGGCCCUGCUUUUGUGGGGUGCUCGAGUGGCGAACGGGUGUGUAACACGUGAGUCACCUGCCCUUGACUUUGGGAUAACUUCAGGAAACUGGUGCUAAUACAGGCUAGGAGCUCCUGCUGCAUGGUGGGCGUUGGAACGUUUCGGCGGAUGGGGAUGGACUCGCGGCUUAUCAGCUUGUUGGUGGGGUAGUGGCUUACCAGGGCUUUGGCGGGUAGCCGGCCUGAGAGGGGGACCAGGGUCAUGGGGACUGAGAGACGGCCCAGUCGCCAACGUGAGGCAGCAGUGGGGAGUAUGGCACAAUGAGCGGAAGCCUGUUGCGACAACGCCGCGUGCGGGAUGACGUCCUACGGGGGGUAAACCGCAGUCACCUGAUACGUAGCGGGUGUGACGUUAAUGAGUAAAGAAGCACCGGCUAACUACGUG
rnacentral:rRNA from 1 species